rnacentral:lncRNA from 1 species
UUCUUCGCCAUAGCUGUAUCUAGUGUUGUGAGUUCUGCUUCCAUUGUUGACCUCGUUAAGAUUGUUUGCUUGCAAGACUUCCAAGAAACAGCGCCACCACCAUGAGUAAAUACAUAUCCGCUCGUGGCCUUUAUCUCAUCAGCAUGAGAGAUCCAGUUUGAGUCACUAUACCCUUCAAGUACCUUUGGGUACCGAGUGUAUUGAAUUCCAUAACUCGUAGUGCCCUUCAAAUAGCGCAUAACUCUUUCUAGAGCUUUCCAAUGAUCAUCUCCUGGUUUUGAGACAAACCGGCUCAGCUUGCUAGCAGCAAAAGAGAUGUCACGUCUCGUAGCGCUUGCUAAAUACAUGAGCGAGCCAAUUAUUUGGGAUUAUUUCAAUUGAUCUCUAGCAAUUAUUCGAUUCUUUCGAAGCAACACGCUAGCAUCAUAAGGUGUUGGAGAAGGCUUGCAGUUAGUAUAACCAAAGUGACUCAAGAGAUUUUCCACAUAGUGAGAAUGAAGCAAAGUAAUCGCACCGUCAUCACUUCUCAGCAGCUUGAUAUUCAGAAUAACAUUAGCUAAUCCUAAAUCCUUUAUCUCGAAACAACGAGAUAGGAAAUCCUUGACUUCCUUAAUAACAUUCAUAUUUGUUCCGAAAAUCAAUAUGUCUUCAACAUAUAAGCAGAGGAUAACUCCCUCGCCCCCACCAUGGCGAUAGUACACACAUUUGUCAGCUUCGUUUACAACAAAGCCUACACCUAUUAAAGUUCUUUCAAACUUCUCAUGCCACUUCUUAGGUGCUUGCUUAAGUCCAUACAAUGACUUCAAAAAUUUGCACACUUUUCCCUCAUGACCGUCCAUUAUAAAUCCAUAUGGUUGUUCCAUAUAAAUUUCCUCGUCCAACUCUCCAUUUAGGGAAGCAGUCUUAACUUCCAUUUGGUGGACGAGAAUACCAUGUGAAGCUCCUAGUGAAAGAAGUACUAGAAUAGUGGUCAGUCGAGCCAUAGGUGAGUAAGUGUCAAAGAAGUCUUCACCUUCCUUUUGGGUAUAACCUUUGGCCACGAGUCAUGCCUUGUACUUCUCAAUAGUACUAUCAGGCCUAAGAUUCUUCUUGAAUACCCAUUUGCAGCCUAUAGGUUUGCACACAUAGGGACAAUCAGUUAUCUCACAAGUUUCAUUUGCGAGGAUGGAAUCCAUCUCACUACAAACCGCUUCCUUCUAGUAGUCAGCAUCUUCAGAUACAUAAGCCUCUGAAAUAGAACUGGGAGUGUCUUUUAUGAGAUAUACAAGAAAAUCAUCACCAAAGGACUUUGUAGUCCUUUGACUCUUGCUCCUUUUAGGAUUCUCCUUGUUGUUCUCCACAGGAUCUUCAAGAUGUUGUGUUGCAAUAGUCGGUUCAGAAGGUGCACCUACAUCUUGACUCGAUAAGCUAGGCAUCUCCUGAUUUGAUGCGCUAGCCAUAUCCUUAAUGGGAAAUAUAUCUUCAAAGAAGGUCACAUCAUUCCACUCCAUGAUUGUGCCAACAUGCAUGUCAGAUACCUCAUAUUUUAUAAUCAAGAAUCUACAACCAAUGCUAUGAAAAUAUACCCCAGGAAAACAUAAUCCACAGUUUUUGGCCCAAGCUUUCGCUUCUUUGGAAUUGGUAUAUUGACUUUUGCCAAGCAGCCCGAAGUUCAUAGGUAAGAGAGUUUUAACCUUUUCUUCUCCCAUUCCUCAAAUGGAGUUAUCUCUUUGUUCUUUGUGGGAACUCGGUUUAGGACAUGACAUGCAGUCAAAAUCGCAUCCCCCACCAUGCCUUGGAGAGACCUGAUAUGACUAAAAUGGCGUUAACAAAAUCAGUUGGAGUGUGGUUCUUCAUUUCAGCUACCCCAUCUGACUGAGGUGAAUAGGGAGGCGUUCUCUCAUGGAUUAUACCAUGUUCGGCACAAAAAGAAUCAAAUUCAUUGAAAAAAUACUCUCCACCAUGAUCAGACCUAAGCCUCUUAAUUUUCUGAUCAAGUUUGUUUUCCACUUUAGCUUUAUAGAUCUUGAAGAAAUUCAAAGCCUCAUCUUUAGAUUUUAAAAGAUACAGAUGGUACCAUCUAGUGGAGUCAUCGAUUAAUGUCAUAAAAUAUGACUUUCCACCUUUCGUCAAAAACACUGUUCAUUUCACAAAGAUCUGAAUGUAUGAGUUGUAGUGGCGCAAGAUUUCUUGUUUCUGCAGUUGCAUGAGACUUACGAGGUUGCUUAGCUUGCACACAAACUUGACCCUUAGAUCCCUUGAUAGAAGUGAAGUUCAGGAUCAAGUUCAACUUGACUAGCCGCGUCAUAGAACCAAAAUUAACAUGACAAAGACGUGAAUGAAAGACAUUUGAUUCUCUAUUAUUGCAAACGUGAUUAAACCCUUUAUUACAAAACAUCUAAUAAAGAUAGUCUGAACAAGCCUCCUGACUCAUAACCUUUACCAAGAAAAGUUCCAUACUUGGAUAUAAAAUUUAUUGGACUGAAAGACAAACUUGUAGCCAUCUCAACAUAGAGGAGAUCCACUAACAAGAUUUUUAUUAUCGGAGGGUACAUAAUGCAUGUUCUUCAGCCGCAUUAUUUUUCCUGAAGUAAACUUCAGAUCGACCGUGCCAACACCACGAACAUAAGCACUUGAACCGUUUCCCGCCAGGAUGGAGGUAGUCCCUGCGGCCUGAUAUGAAGAAAACAUAGAAAUAUCACCGCAUAUAUGCACAUUAACACCCGUAUCAAUCAACCAAUCAGGAGAACGACAUAGUGAGAGAAUAGUGGGAAGUAUACCAUACCCAACAUCCUGCAUCUCAGCAUCACCAAUGAUAACAUUAGCAAUCUUGUCGCCUUUCCCAUGUUGACGCUUUUCAUAACGGUUAGGGCAACUAGGUGCCCAAUGAUGAGGAUCUCCGCAAACAUGACAAACACCUUUCUUUUUGUCAGUCUUCUUCUUGAGUGUGCUGUGAAGCCUUGUUCUUCCCAUCAAACUUUCCCUUACCAUCAAAUUUGCCCUUGUUAUUGAACUUGUGGGGUUGGAAGUUUUUCUUCUGCACCAGAUUGGCACUAGAACCUCCUUCCAUACCUCAAGCAUGUAUGUCUUGCCUUUUCUUCCACAUCAAGAUUACCAAUGAGAUCCGGAACGGAAAACUCCUUCCUCUUAUGAGUGGGAGAGGUAGCAAAGUUCCUCCAUGAAGGAGGAAGCUUAGUAAUAAUACCUCCGGCAACAAACUUCACCGGUAACAUACAAUUGAAGUUCUCAAGUUCUCCAGCAAAUGAUUGUAUCUCGUGAGCUUGUUCAACCACAGAACGCUCAUCAGUCAUCUUUAUUCAUAGAAUUGUUCCAUGAUAUACAGCUUAGUGCCAGCAUUCGAGACUCCAAACUUGGCCUCGAGCACGCUCCACAUAUCUUUCCAUUGUCAAUUGACGCAUAAGCAUCAACAAUGUUCUCACCAAGAAUACUCAAGAGAGCAUCCUUAAACAAGGUAUCAAUUUUCUGAAAAGCGAAUUCCUGUUGAGGAUCAAGAAUUCCUUCAGGUUUGCCAAGAGUGGCAUCGUAGCAGCUCAUGGUUUGAAACCAUAGAACAUCCCUUACACACCAUCUCUUAUAGUGCACACCCUCGAACAUAGGAGGCCUCAUGGAAGCAGCAAAACCACUCGGGGUAAAUUUCCUAAAAUAAGGUCUUCGGAUUGUUGGAAAUAUGAGCGAUUUACCAAGUGAUUUUACUAGCAGAAAUAGUAGAUGAAUCAUGACUACCAUAGCAAUUAUAAGACAAGCCAGUCGAUUAUACACAGAGUAUGCAAGUAGCAUAUGAAGUGAUGAGCAGGAACGAAACAUAUCUAGAAAAGAAACUAUAACAAGAAGUUGUGGCAGGAACUCAAACAAGAAGAACACGAGAACAUACUGAGUUGGAGCAGCAGCUAUAGUGGGAUUUGCGUUGACGUCGUCAUUGGCCAUGUUGCCGAAGAGGCUGUCGAUGUCGGGGAAGAAGUCGUCAUCCGGGAAGUAGUCGUCAGCGUUCGUGAUGGAAAAGCCAGUAGUCGCAUUGAGCGCUCCCCAAAAACCUUAUCGCCCUUCUCCAGUACAUGACUCAAAGAGACGGGGUUUCGGAGGCCUACUGUUCCGACCUGCGGUGCACGUCGCAAGCCGGGGCGGGGAAAAGCUAGCAGUAGCUCAGAGAUUGGAACUCGUUGGCAUGAGGAAGAUGGUAUUCUCGUGUGUCUCUCUGGAGAGGAGCGACCUGUCUUUUAUAGGCCCAUGAGAAGGAGGCAGGCACGCAACAUCGGGAGGCGAAGCAAAAGAGAUUGCAGUCAGGUUGAUAAUAGUCGAGUGACAUUACUUCGUCGGUCCAAACUAAGGAAUCUGUUAUAAAUGUUUUGAAAUAGAUAUUGUUCUCUCUUUGAUCAGGGAUUGCUAUAUGAAAAUAAGUGGAGUUUGAAAAAGGGAACGAAAUGCUCAAACCGGAACUGCUAGAGGAACGAAUUUUCAAUAGCAUAACUUGGGCUCCUAGAAUAUGGUGCCCUUGAGACAAUCUAUUUGAUUGCAGGGUUUUGUUCUGAAGCAAAGAUAUCCGCAGAGGACGGUUCGUUCGUCCUAUUCUGAUAUUCAGGACCAAGAGGUACUGCAUUCUCUGGCUGAAAUGCCAACGGAACUCUGUCUAUUCUCUAAUUCACCCGAUCCGAUAGUACCUGUUUUUGGAACGUCCAGUGCCAAAGUCAUUGAAUGGGUAAGUCACGAAUCCAAUCCCUUUGACAAAUCGGAUGUCAUAUUAUAUAUCAUAUCCUAUAUAUAUAUAUAGAAAUAUCAUAGAUACCCCGUUUCGUGACGAGGCGAGACGGGCGGCGGAGGAGGAGGAGCGUGCGUGUAUGUCUCUCUUGUUCUCAUGCUCAUACAUGUGUGGAAACAUCCUUUCUUAUAAGGAGGUCCAACUCCUACCAAACUAGCAAUGUGGGACUAAACUUUAGUCCCUCCUCUUGCCUUGCACGAGUGGGCUAAGUGGGCCUCUAGGAUUUAUUAGAAAUUCUGAAAAAGGUCAUUGGGCUGGCCCAAAAUUAUAAAAUUCUAGCACAUAAUUGGGGGGGGGGGUAUACCUCUGGGGCUCCCGAUAGUCCGAUGAGCAGGCUGCCGGACAUGAGGCAGACAAAGGGAUCCGCAGCGCUCGGCCAUAGAUUAGUGUAGGGUAUCCAUGUCGUUAGAAUGGAGCUCCACGCGACCAGACGUGCACAUAGUUUUACCUAUUUUAGUUCAAAUAUGUCCAAAAUGCAAUGAAUUUAGUCCGGUUUAUAUGAAAUCCGUUGUGUUUGCAUGAGUUUCAUCUGCUUUGUUGGAAAAGUGUUUGAAAUAUACUUCCUCCGUUCCAAAAUAUAAGACCUUUUAGGAAUUUCACUAUAAGACUACACACGGAGCAAAAUGAGUGAAUCUAUACUCUAAAAUAUGUCUAUGUACAUCCGUAUGUAGUUUAUAGUGCAAUCUCUAAAAGGUCUUAUAUUUAGGAACGGAGGGAGUAUGUGAGUAACGAUGGAUGACCGACAACACUCGAGAAUAUCAUUUUUGGUGGUGCUCCUCAGGUGCCGAGUCAUCACUUUCAAGGUGAAAACCUAAGGUCUAACUUUCGUUUUGUGCCUUAUAUUAGAGUAUUUAACCAAAAACCACCAUAAUUCAUGGAAACGUGCCUAGAAACUACUACUAUACGUUUUUGUGCCGAAAGCUACCAUUUUUAUCCUAAUCAGUGGCAAAAAACUACCAAGUGUGAAUAUUGCUCCAUUAGCCUCUUUGAAAUGCCUUUUAUCCUAAUCCGUUAACUACUCCAUUAACCUACCUGGCGCAGCCCCGCCGCCGUCGCCAUGGCCUCGCCCAAAGCGGCGGCCGCCCCGUGCCUCGCCGUCGGCAGGCCUCCUUGUCGCCGACCACGUCGCCGUCGGAUCCCGGCGUCCUGCGAACCGCCCCACGCUGCCAGUCUCCAUGCCCUCGCACCGAGCGGCGGCCGCCCCGCGCCUCGCGGCCGAAGGCCUCCCGUCGUGGACCCUGCCGUGGUUGGAUCCCACCGCCUCGCCUCCCUGGCGCAGCCUCGUUGCCCCGUGAACCGCCCCGCGCCGUCCAUCGCCAUGGCCUCGCCUCGAGCGGUCGUCGCCAGCGUCUCGCCGUCACCAGAUCCGGCAGGCGUCGCCCUGGUUCCGCCUCUCCCGGACCUCCCCGCCGCCCUGCUCAUGCCGGAGUGCUGCGUGUAGAUCGCGUCGUCUCCUCCAGAUCCGGUCGCACCGCCGCCGUACUUCAUCUUCUCCACCUCCGGUGAAGGCCGCCGCCGUCUCGAUCUCUUUCUCCGGUGACGGCAAACUUAACGGUGCUGACUUUUCCGUCCUGACAUGUGGGCCAACCCUGUCAUAAUGAGUUUAAACGAGCCAAAUGAGGCGUUUUGCAGACUUGAUUGUUUUUAGUCACAGAUUAGCAAAAAAAAAUUGAUAGUUUUUGGCGCAAAAACGAAUUGUGAUAGUUCCUGGGCACGUUGGCGUGAAUUGUAGUAGUUUUUGAUUAAAUACUCCUCAUAUUACCUUGAUGAAGGUAUUGUUUCGAGAGCUCGGUCUUUUUAAGGGAGAAAACCUAAGAUCUUGGAUCGGACGACGAUGACGCUUGUGCACCGAUUUUUUUUUAAAGGCAUCAUUUUUUAGGAUGGUUUGAGUGUCGCUGCUGCUGAGAAGAGUUGUUCACUGUGACGAGUAGUUGAAAAUGCUCUUACUAUUACAUUUUUCUUUCAAACACGUUACAGUUUACUCCCACCUCAAGUAGUUCCGAGCUACUGUACGUAGUAGCCACACACAUGGAGCGACUCACUCACCUCCAACCAAUUUAACUUUCGUGAAUCUUUGAUCGCUUUUCAUUUGGCCCAGCUCGACGUCACGCGGAUGUCCCCGAUGGAUCUCGCCGGCCACACGCCCCUCGACGACGACGAGAUGAGCAGCGUGUGAUCCUCGUCGCCCCGUCCAUCCAACCGAAGAUAAGACGCCCACUCCCUCCCCUCCACAUGGCACCCACCCUCCAAUCCCUUACUUAUUCCCGCCCCCCUCACUCCUCCAUCCCCUAGCUCCACCUCUCAUCCGCUCCUCAGCCACACCUAGAGCAUCUUAGCUCCAGCUAGCCACCAAUGGCCGCCGCACUGAGCCUCCGCGCGCCCUUCUCCGUGCGCGCUGUGGCGCCACCGGCGCCCCGCGUGGCCCUUGCGCCCGCGGCCCUCAGCCUCGCCGCCGCCAAGCAGGUGCGGGGAGCCAGGCUCCGCGCGCAGGCGACGUACAAGGUGAAGCUGGUGACGCCCGAGGGCGAGGUGGAGCUGGAGGUCCCCGACGACGUCUACAUCCUGGACCAGGCCGAGGAGGAGGGCAUCGACCUGCCCUACUCCUGCCGCGCCGGCUCCUGCUCCUCCUGCGCCGGCAAGUUGGUGUCCGGCGAGAUCGACCAGUCCGACCAGAGCUUCCUCGACGACGACCAGAUGGAGGCAGGGUGGGUGCUCACCUGCCACGCCUACCCCAAGUCCGACAUCGUCAUCGAGACCCACAAGGAGGAGGAGCUCACCGCAUAAGCUGCUUACCCUGCCUCUCUUUGCAACAAGAUCGAGCUGAUAUCAUAUUAUCUCCCAUCAUGCAUGCAUGCAUGGAUAUCGCCAGAUACACCGAUUUGUUUGUGCUCGAAUGAAUUGCUCGAUGCAUGGUUUGCUCCAGUAAUAAUGUCUUCGAAUUACUACCUUUUUGUACCGUAAGAUAUACUACUGUCGUAAUACUAGCGUGUACUUAAUUCAACGUACUGAAAUGAAUCCUGAU